UUGGGGUUUAACUAUCAGGUUAUUGUUGUGAGGCUUUAGCUACAAGGUUGGGGUUUAACUAUCAGGUUAUUGUUGUGAGGCUUUAGCUACAAGGUUGGGGUUUAACUAUCAGGUUAUUGUUGUGAGGCUUUAGCUACAAGGUUGGGGUUUAACUAUCAGGUUAUUGUUGUGAGGCUUUAGCUACAAGGUUGGGGUUUAACUAUCAGGUUAUUGUUGUGAGGCUUUAGCUACAAGGUUGGGGUUUAACUAUCAGGUUAUUGUUGUGAGGCUUUAGCUACAAGGUUGGGGUUUAACUAUCAGGUUAUUGUUGUGAGGCUUUAGCUACAAGGUUGGGGUUUAACUAUCAGGUUAUUGUUGUGAGGCUUUAGCUACAAGGUUGGGGUUUAACUAUCAGGUUAUUGUUGUGAGGCUUUAGCUAC